AGAAUUCUAAUCUAAGCACUCAGGAUCAUGAGAACAUCAUUGUGGCCAUUGCUCCUCUUCUGGAAAACAACCACCCACCACCUGACCUGUGUGAGUUCUUCUGUAAGCACUGUCGGGAGCGGCCGCGUUCAAUGGUUGUUAUUGAGGUGUUCACUCCUGUGGUCCAGAGAAUCCUCAAACAUAACAUGGUGAGAAGGGC